AUGGGCACAAGCUACUAAGGAACACAUACAGUAAGCGAACUUAGAAAAAUAUUAGAUUAGUAUUAUUGGCACAGAUUAAGUUCUAUUAUAUUGCUAGCAAAAAGAAAAUAUUUGAUUGAAUAAAUAAAUACAAUGUCACUCACAAGUCCAACUUUUUUUUUUUUAUGGAACAUUCAUACCAAACAGCUGGAAAUGGGUCAUAUUGCAGCACAAUCCUCAGCAGACAGACAAUGAUAAUAAAUGAAACCACUACACAAACAUGUCACACAGCUGCCUUGGAGCAUUUUAUACAAAAGCACACAAUAAGGACACACAUGCUCGUACACACACACACACACACACACACACACACACACACACACACACACACACACACACACACUACAGGAGGCUGCUGAGAGGAGGACGGCGAAUAAUUUUGGCUGGAAUGGAGUGAACGGAAUGAUGUUCAAUACCAUUCCAUUUAGUCUAUUCCAGCCAUUACUAUGAGCCCGUCCUCCCCAAUUAAAGUGCCACCACCCACCUGUGACACACACACCCCCACACACACACACACACACACUGUAACAAAGGACGGUUCACUCUCCCAAUGAUAAAUAAUAAUCAAAUAAAAUAGAAAAAGUUCAGUCAACAUAUCAGGGGUUGCUUUGCUGACAGAGGUAAGUCAUGUCUUCUGUAGGAGUGAACAAGAAGAAAGAAUAAUGUUUUAAAUCAUUUGAAAUGGGAAGCGUUUCUCUUCAUGACAGCACCAGAACAGCGGCCCUCUCUGACCGUGUGAAGCAAGCAAGUUCUUUCCCAUCAGAAUGUUUUGCUUAACCAAAGAAACAUAAAGAACAAAAUCCAUGUAGGCCUACAGCUACUGUAUUAUGUACCUUCGGGAAAACACAGAAGCGCAGAAAAAAAACUAUUAUGACAUGUCAAUGAAUUAAACCACACAACCUGUAAAGCAUGAAUAUUAAAAUCCCAAUCCACACCUGCCCUUGGAGAGUAUGAAAACUCAAACCUUUACUUCACGAAAUAUGUGACCCUUUGGGCAAACAGACAAACAGAUCAUGGCCCUUUGGGGGUAAAAGCAAACAUGCGAGAGGGAUGUCAGAAGGAAAUGAUGCAUGAAGCCUGCUAGCUGUACCAGACUGCUGACAAAGCUUCUGUUGAGGUUUCACAACCAGCCAUCCCCUCAUUGUCCUAACGGGAACAAUCUAGCCCCCUUUCUAUUGCUGUGUGUGUGGUGUGUGUGUGUGCGUGCGUCCUAACGGAAGCCAUUUAAUUAAAGUCAAUCCCGGUGACACUCUGCUUACCAGUCAGCACUGCAGCAAACAGAGCAGCCGCAGGAGACGACUUGGAGAUGUUACCUUUUGUACUGCAAGGACACUAGGACAGGGCUUAAUGACAGUGACGACAGAACACUAGAAGAUGGGACAUUACAAUAGGAGACGAGUAAGGUCAAGCUUUGUCGCUUGCCGCUAGCUUCAUGGACACAUCUUUGAAAGCUAACCCGUGAGCGGAGAAUGGAGUAUGUACAAUAUCAAUUGAAACAUCCAUACAUGAAGGACAAUGUUGGAGUGCAAGGACUUCGUCGAGCAAGUGUAUCUAUAGGUCUACUUGCUGUAAACGUCCACCAUAAAGUGUACUUGUCACUCAAACCAGUGCAAAGAAUAACUACAGGUCUGUGUCGGUACAUGACCUCCAUAGACGCAACUUCAGUCACCUCCAAGUGAUACCAUGACAACAUCUCUGUAAAUUUAAACAUUCAUUUAAUCUCGAUGGACAGAAGCAUAGUGCCUACUAGUAAGUUCCCAUAGUAGAGACACUGUUCUCCGACGCAGGAAGGUGACACCCUCCUUAUUAUACUGUUCCUGGCACAGACAAGGUAGCGACAUUAAAGGUUCAAUGCAUACAAAAUCUAACUCUAAAAGCAGCGCACAUACGGUAUGAGAAAUCAGGAAAAAAAUCCCAUUUCCAAGGGAUAUGAGCUAUAGCCAUUCAUAUUUCAUAAUUCUAUAUUUCAAAUAUUAAUCAACCAAGAUAAUUACACAAUGGACUCAGUAGCAGUAAUACUCAUACCUCAG
rnacentral:lncRNA from 1 species